rnacentral:misc_RNA from 1 species
AAGUCGUAACAAGGUUUCCGUAGGUGAACCUGCGGAAGGAUCAUUAACACGUAUCCAACGUUAAACCCCCCGUGCACAGCAAUCCUGGUAAAUCAGUGGCGAAAGUAGUCUUUGAUUCAGGACCUCUGAAGUUGUAAGCAGGCAGUUUGAGCCUUCUAUCGCCAGUCUGGAGUCCUGGCCGGGCGGAUGAAAGUGUCGCUAGACGGUUUCUAGGGUAAGGCUUCUCCAUCGCCGGUGUAUCACACGCCGAAGCGGACAGACUGCAGGGUGUAGUGCCCCUUUACGACGACCAAGUUAAAUUAGGCCUCUACCACAUAGCAAGUGCGCCGUGGUAGAGGAAAACGUACAACUGUUAACAAUGGAUAUCUUGGUUCUC